rnacentral:rRNA from 1 species
CCCCAUGCCGAACUCAGAAGUGAAACGCCGUAGCGCCGAUGGUAGUGUGGGGCUUCCCCAUGUGAGAGUAGGGAACUGCCAGGC